AAGCCUGUCUCAGUUCGGAUUGGAGUCUGNAACCCGACUCCAUGAAGCUGGAUUCGCUAGUAAUCGCGCAUCAGCCACGGCGCGGUGAAUACGUUCCCGGGCCUUGUACACACCGCCCGUCAAGCCAUGGAAGCCGGGGGUGCCUGAAGUGCGCUGCCGCAAGGAGCGCCCUAGGGUAAAACCGGUGACUGGGGCUAAGUCGUAACAAGGUAUC
rnacentral:rRNA from 1 species